UACAGAGGGUGCAAGCGUUAAUCGGAAUUACUGGGCGUAAAGCGUGCGUAGACGGUUACAUAAGUCGGGGUGUGAAAGCCCCGGGCUCAACCUGGGAAUUGCAUUCGAGACUGCGUAGCUAGGGUGCGGAAGAGGGAAGCGGAAUUUCCGGGUGUAGCGGUGAAAUGCGUAGAUAUCGGAAGGAACACCAGUGGCGAAAGCGGCUUCCUGGUCCAGCACCGACGUCAGGCACGAAAGCGUGGGGAGCAAAACAGG
rnacentral:rRNA from 1 species